rnacentral:rRNA from 1 species
AGUGAACGCUGGCGGUAGGCCUAACACAUGCAAGUCGAACGGCAGCACAGUAAGAGCUUGCUCUUACGGGUGGCGAGUGGCGGACGGGUGAGGAAUACAUCGGAAUCUACUUUUUCGUGGGGGAUAACGUAGGGAAACUUACGCUAAUACCGCAUACGACCUACGGGUGAAAGCAGGGGAUCUUCGGACCUUGCGCGAUUGAAUGAGCCGAUGUCGGAUUAGCUAGUUGGCGGGGUAAAGGCCCACCAAGGCGACGAUCCGUAGCUGGUCUGAGAGGAUGAUCAGCCACACUGGAACUGAGACACGGUCCAGACUCCUACGGGAGGCAGCAGUGGGGAAUAUUGGACAAAGGGCGCAAGCCUGAUCCAGCCAUACCGCGUGGGUGAAGAAGGCCUUCGGGUUGUAAAGCCCUUUUGUUGGGAAAGAAAAGCAGCAGGUUAACACCCCGCUGUUCUGACGGUACCCAAAGAAUAAGUACCGGCUAACUUCGUG